UAGUGAUCCGGCGGUUCCGAAUGGAAGGGCCGUCGCUCAACGGAUAAAAGGUACGCCGGGGAUAACAGGCUUAUCGCCCCCGAGAGUUCACAUCGACGGGGCGGUUUGGCACCUCGAUGUCGGCUUAUCGCAUCCUGGGGCCGGAGAAGGUCCCAAGGGUCGGGCUGUUCGCCCGUUAAAGCGGUACAUGAGCUGGGUUUAGAACGUCGUGAGACAGUUCGGUCUGUAUCCGUCGUGGGCGUUGGAGUGUUGCGAGGAUCUGUCCCUAGUACGAGAGGACCGGGAUGGACUGACCUCUCGUGUACCGGUUGUCCCGCCAGGGGCAUCGCCGGGUAGCGACGUCGGGAAGGGAUAACCGCUGAAAGCAUCUAAGUGGGAAGCCUACCUCAAGAUGAGCACUCCCAGGGCGUUAAGCCCUCAGAAGGGCCGUGCGAGACGAGCACGUUGAUAGGCGGCAGGUGGAAGCAUGGCAACAUGUGCAGCCGAGCCGUACUAAGUGCCCGAGAGGCUUGACCAG
rnacentral:rRNA from 1 species